GGUGAGAGCACCUCACAGGAUCUGGGCGAGCACUGGCAUGUGGAUCACUGCUUCAGGGAGGUACUGAGGGACAAACUUCUGUGCGAGAAAGCAACUGCUGAACAGGUCCUGCCCUGGAUGGACAGCUGUGGUCUAAGACAGCGAUUCCCUAGGAGGAAGGAGAGCCUUUGCCUCAUCUGCACAGCUCAGGUGGAUGUGACAGAAUUGGUGUGCCCUGAGAUGGUCAGUCACAGUUUGCCUUUUUUAGGGGAACCAUAAAUGAUGACUGUGUUAAAGGAAUUUUUUUUUUUUCUGUGAAUGAAGCUGGAUAUUGGUAGUCAAGGGGAAGUGACAAGGUGAGUAGCUACUGGUGGACAGAAGCAGCUGUUAUUGAUCAGGUCUCAAUUUCUGGCGCAACUCUCAGCAUUUGUUAUUUGUGCAUUUUAUGCAAUGCGUUUGAAUUAUGCUGAGACCGCUCUCAUCGACCGGCCAACAGGCAUCAGCCUCCGAGGGGGGACGAAUCGUGCAUCCCAAGUACCCGGGCAUUCUUGGGAGGCGAUGACUAAGAGAAGACAGCUUGGUAAUGGCAGGAAUUUCCCACAUGGUGGAACUGCUUUUCUUCACAGCUGACAUGGAUUCCCAUCCCUGGAUGUCUGAGAGGUAAGUGGAGGGUUCAAACCCACAGAGGGGGUGGGAGUGGGAUGCUUUGUCUAGACUUGUCAGGAGAGAUUUUUAAAGAGGCUUUAGAGGCGGGGAUGUCCAAGAAGCAGCCCCUUAGGCCCCAUAAGGGGAAAAGUGUCAAUUUGAUGCCCGUGCUGAGGUGCACAGGGUAGAGGAGUUCUGGUGGGUGUCAUGUCACUUGUCUGUAGUGCAGUGUGUGUCUUUUUUGUGCGCGUUGUAUUGUACAAGUCUUGCCUUAGA